rnacentral:rRNA from 1 species
UCAGGCCUAACACAUGCAAGUCGAACGGUAGAGGGGCAACCCUUGAGAGUGGCGAACGGGUGAGUAAUGCAUCGGAACGUGCCCAGUAGUGGGGGAUAGCCCGGCGAAAGCCGGAUUAAUACCGCAUGAGACCUGAGGGUGAAAGCGGGGGAUCGCAAGACCUCGCGCUAUUGGAGCGGCCGAUGUCAGAUUAGCUAGUUGGUGGGGUAAAGGCCUACCAAGGCGACGAUCUGUAGCUGGUCUGAGAGGACGACCAGCCACACUGGGACUGAGACACGGCCCAGACUCCUACGGGAGGCAGCAGUGGGGAAUUUUGGACAAUGGGCGCAAGCCUGAUCCAGCCAUGCCGCGUGCGGGAAGAAGGCCUUCGGGUUGUAAACCGCUAUUGUCAGGGAAGAAAUCUUCGGGCUAAUACCCC